AGUCAAUCUAACCUGUGGACGGGGAUAACCUCGGGAAACUGAGAAUAAUACCCGAUAGAUCAUAAUGCCUGGAAUGGUUUAUGGUCCAAAUAAUUUAUUGCCGCAGGAUGGGACUGCGACCUAUCAGUUUGUUGGUGAGGUAAUGGCUCACCAAGACUAUUACAGGUACGGGCUCUGAGAGGAGUAGCCCGGAGAUGGGUACUGAGACACGGACCCAGGCCCUAUGGGGCGCAGCAGGCGAGAAAACUUUGCAAUGUGCGAAAGCACGACAAGGUUAAUCCGAGUGUUUUCUGCUAAAGAAAUCUUUUGUCAGUCCUAAAAACACUGAUGAAUAAGGGGUGGGCAAGUUCUGGUGUCAGCCGCCGCGGUAAAACCAGCACCUCAAGUGGUCAGGAGGAUUAUUGGGCCUAAAGCAUCCGUAGCCUGCUGUAUUAGUUUUCGGUUAAAUCCAUGUGCUCAACGCAUGGGCUGCCGGGAAUACUGUACAGCUAGGGAGUGGGAGAGGUAGACGGUACUCGGUAGGAAGGGGUAAAAUCCUUUGAUCUAUUGAUGACCACCUGUGGCGAAGGCGGUCUACCAGAACACGUUCGACGGUGAGGGAUGAAAGUUGGGGGAGCAAACCGGAUUAGAUACCCGGGUAGUCCCAACUGUAAACUAUGCAAACUCAGUGAUGCAUUGGCUUGUGGCCAGUGCAGUGCC
rnacentral:rRNA from 1 species